GUGCUUGUUUUGGCAGCACAUAUACUAAAAUUGGAACGACACAGAGAAAAUUAGCAUGGCCCCUGCGCAAGAUGAAACGCAAAUUCAUGAAGUGUUCCAUAUUUAA
ensembl:snRNA U6 U6 spliceosomal RNA